UUCAGCGGCGGACGGGUGAGUAAUGCCUAGGAAUCUGCCUGGUAGUGGGGGACAACGUUUCGAAAGGAACGCUAAUACCGCAUACGUCCUACGGGAGAAAGCAGGGGACCUUCGGGCCUUGCGCUAUCAGAUGAGCCUAGGUCGGAUUAGCUAGUUGGUGAGGUAAUGGCUCACCAAGGCGACGAUCCGUAACUGGUCUGAGAGGAUGAUCAGUCACACUGGAACUGAGACACGGUCCAGACUCCUACGGGAGGCAGCAGUGGGGAAUAUUGGACAAUGGGCGAAAGCCUGAUCCAGCCAUGCCGCGUGUGUGAAGAAGGUCUUCGGAUUGUAAAGCACUUUAAGUUGGGAGGAAGGGCAGUAACUUAAUACGUUGCUGUUUUGACGUUACCGACAGAAUAAGCACCGGCUAAC
rnacentral:rRNA from 1 species